UUUAUCAUCCAUCAUCCAUGGUUCUUUCUUUCGAAAAUUUUAUUGAACUGGGUUGGAUGCGUUGCUGCGAGAAAAACCAAAAAAUGAAAACGACAAAGCAUAGUUGGUCAAAUGCUUUGCAUUAUAAGAUGAAAAAAAGUUAAAAGAGCAAAAGGAUUGCUGCAGAAUUCAUGGAUUAAAAAUAGAUAUGAGGCUCCCUGAGGCCGCCUCAACACGUGGUCUGGUUUGCCGGCUUUGCUAAUAUGGGUAAUUUUUCAACAAAGGGCAGCUUUUCAUAACCUGGGAACUGGAAAUAUAUGAUGCAGAGCGCCACAUUUCAAUAUGCCGUCAAUUUAGUUGGGCGCUCGAAUCGGAAAACGUGUCGAAGAUGCAUUUGCUGAUCAGCCGCUUUUAUCGUACCGCGGAUGUGCUUUUUGGAAAUGAUUCAACAUGAAAACGGAACUGCCAAGACACAAUUCUGGUUUUACCAUGCAUUUAAUUAAGUGAACCUCUGUUAAAAGAAGUCUGAAAUAUGAACGGCUCCAUUAGCAAGAUUCUAUAUGGAUUUCACGUACUAUCAAGCUAGUCCAAAGUCCGACAUGGCCUGAAGACUUCUCUGGAUUGUAUUGAUUCUACUGCUCCAAUGAUUUGCUUUCCACCAGUCGGAACAGAUGUAGCCAUACAAUGUUAUAAGGAAGGUGCCGCCACGUCCAUAUCUAUUGCCUGAUAUAAAGAUUGAUCAUUACUGUAGGAUACGACACUUGCUUGAGUUCCUUUUGAAGUUUGAAGUUUGGAAAACAUAUUUAAAGGUAGCUUUAACGCAUUUUGGACUCAUAAAUACAUCAGAGAGGAGGUUAUUGUGUUACAGAAUAAAAUGUUGAAAA